rnacentral:lncRNA from 1 species
CAGCGGAGUCGCUGACCCCACUCCUCUCCCGCUGCCCCCAGCUGCGCUCGGGCCGCUGCAGCCUCUGCGCACCCCCACCCGCUUCCUGCCCCGUCCGCGAGGCCGCCCUGGAUCGCACCCGGUUCCUUCCUUCCUUCGUUCUUUCAGGCAACUCGCAUUCCUCGAGCGCCUGCGACGUGCCCUGCACAGGGCCUUCCCGGCCUUCCGAGUGUGGCCCCAGGCCCGCUGGGCUCCUCCGGGAAGCCUCUGCCCUCUCGAAGUCCUUCCCCACCUCCGCCCCUCUGUUCCAUGAGCUGUUUUGAAACUUCAUGCAAACCGGUGGGUGCUGCAGAAUUGGCCUCUUCCAGCCACAGCAGUAAUCCUGUUACGUUCUCUCUGUGAGUCUGGGAAACAUACAGACACUGGUUGAAACUUCAGCUUUGUCAUUUACCAGCUGUGCUAUCACAGGCUGGUCUGAAACUCCUGGGCUCAAGCAGUUCUCCCACAUUGGCUUCCCAAAGUGCUGGGAUUACAGGUCUGAACCACCGAACCGGGCCACAGAGUGGCAAUGUGGUUGGCAUGACCCAGUCACAGCACCCCGGGACUCUUGUCCAGCAUUGGCGCUCUAUAUGCAGAGCCCUUUCACUCAGCCUGGCAGCAUCUGAUCAGCGUCGAAGCCCAGUGGCUUGAGGAAUAAAUAUAAACAGUGCAGAGACUAAAAGCAGAGCUCUGGUCCAGCACAUCUACUCCCAAGCUCUGCCACCCUGGACAAGCUCCUUCCCCUCUCUGAGCCUCAGUCUCCUCCCUGUAAUACUGUAAGAACCCUGUCCACAGUUGUGUGCCGAUAUACUGAAUGUAAAGCACCUAAAAGCCUGCCAGGACGUGGCAGGCACUCAAGAAGCAUUACUAGAUUCAUUUCACACAUGGAGAAACUGAGUCCCAGAGUGGGAAAGUGACUCAGGCAAAGAUUCCCUCACAGAACUGGGGAUAAAAAUCCAGAUCUUCAAGCUCCCAGUCAGUGCCUAAUUACUACUUUCUCAUUCUUGGAAUUUGUAAUUAUUUCAUGACAAGUGUGCUUUUGGCUGCUGGAGGGACAGAGCUUCAGAGGUUGUGAGCCUCCCCUGGCUCAGCCUGACCCAGAACCAGCUCACUCAUGAAACUACCCUCUCUUGAAGAGAAUAGGAGUUGUGGGGAGGAAGAACAUAACCCAGAGGCCAGAGAACGUGGAGGCCAGGGUUGGUGUAACUGUGUAGGUAAGAGCAGCAGCUUCGUGAUCAGCCAGACCUGCAUUUAAAUCCUUCUCUGCCACUUCUUAGCUGUGUGACCAGCUACAUGACACCACCUCCCUGAGCCUCAGGUUUUCAUCUGUAAACUUUCAAUGCUACCUCUCCCAUAGGGUUGUUGUAGGAAUUAAAUAAGACAACAGAGGUAGAGUACCUGCUCCCAACUGGCAGCCCUUAUAAUUUCAUGAAGAGGAAGCAAAAGGGGAGCCAGCUACCUUUUUUUUUUUUUUUUUGAGACAGAGCCUCUUUCUGUCACUCA